UACGUAGGGUGCAAGCGUUGUCCGGAAUUAUUGGGCGUAAAGAGCUCGUAGGCGGUCUGUCGCGUCGGCUGUGAAAACCCAGGGCUCAACCCUGGGCCUGCAGUCGAUACGGGCAGACUAGAGUUCGGCAGGGGAGACUGGAAUUCCUGGUGUAGCGGUGAAAUGCGCAGAUAUCAGGAGGAACACCGGUGGCGAAGGCGGGUCUCUGGGCCGUAACUGACGCUGAGGAGCGAAAGCAUGGGGAGCGAACAGG
rnacentral:rRNA from 1 species